rnacentral:rRNA from 1 species
UACGUAGGUCCCGAGCGUUAUCCGGAAUUAUUGGGCGUAAAGCGUCUGUAGGCGGAAAAUUAAGUUGGUAAUGAAAGACCGAAGCUCAACUUCGUGUUUGUUACCAAAACUGCUUUUCUAGAAUUAGGGAGAGGUAAGCGGAAUUCUAAGUGUAGGGGUGCAAUCCGUAGAUACUUAGAGGAACACCAAAAGCGAAGGCAGCUUACUGGAACUAUAUUGACGCUGAGAGACGAAAGCGUGGGUAGCGAAAAGG